rnacentral:rRNA from 1 species
UGCUGCAUGGCGUGUCGUCAGCUCGUGUCGUGGGAUGUUGGUUAAGUCCGCAACGAGCGCAACCCUCGCCUUUAGUUGCCAGCAUUCAGUUGGGCACUCUAGAGGGACUGCCGGUGUCAAACCGGAGGAAGGUGGGGAUGACGUCAAGUCCUCAUGGCCUUUAUGUCUAGGGCUACACACGUACUACAAUGGCCGGUACAAAGGGCAGCCACUCAGCGAUGAGGCGCUAAUCCCAUAAAGCCGGUCUCAGUCCGGAUCGCAGUCUGCAACUCGACUGCGUGAAGUUGGAAUCGCUAGUAAUCGUAGAUCAGCAUGCUACGGUGAAUACGUUCCCGGGCCUU